rnacentral:misc_RNA from 1 species
CGUAACAAGGUCUCCGUUGGUGAACCAGCGGAGGGAUCAUUACUGAGUACUACACUCUCUACCCUUUGUGAACUAUUAUACCUGUUGCUUCGGCGGCGCCCGCGAGGGUGCCCGCCGGUCUCAUCAGAAUCUCUGUUUUCGAACCCGACGAUACUUCUGAGUGUUCUUAGCGAACUAUCAAAACUUUUAACAACGGAUCUCUUGGCUCCAGCAUCGAUGAAGAACGCAGCGAAACGCGAUAUGUAAUGUGAAUUGCAGAAUUCAGUGAAUCAUCGAAUCUUUGAACGCACAUGGCGCCUUCCAGUAUCCUGGGAGGCAUGCCUGUCCGAGCGUCGUUUCAACCCUCGAGCCCCCGUGGCCCGGCGUUGGGGAUCUGCCACGGCAGGCCCCUAAAACCAGUGGCGGACCCGAAGGGCCCUCUCCUUUGCGCAGUAGCAUCAGCCUCGCAUCGGGAGUCCUCGGCGUCCUGCCUCUAAACCCCCUACAAGCCCGCCCCGGCGGCACCAAGGUUGACCUCGGAUCAGGUAGGAAUACCCGCUGAACUUAAGC